rnacentral:rRNA from 1 species
CGACCUCAACUCAAGCAAGAUUACCCGCUGAACUU